UGAGGCCUUGGCUUAAUUAAAGUGUUUGUUUUGCAUACAUAAGAUGUGGGUUAAUAUCCUGCAGGUCUUAUC
rnacentral:tRNA from 1 species